rnacentral:rRNA from 1 species
UACGUAGGGACCGAGCGUUGUCCGGAUUCAUUGGGCGUAAAGAGCUCGUAGGCGGUUUGUCGCGUCUGCUGUGAAAACUCGGGGCUUAACCCCGGGCCUGCAGUGGGUACGGGCAGACUAGAGUGCGGUAGGGGAGACUGGAAUUCCUGGUGUAGCGGUGAAAUGCGCAGAUAUCAGGAGGAACACCGGUGGCGAAGGCGGGUCUCUGGGCCGUAACUGACGCUGAGGAGCGAAAGCGUGGGGAGCGAACAGG